rnacentral:SRP_RNA from 1 species
GCUGGGCAUGGUAGCGUGUGCCUGUAGUCCCACUUCCUCUGGAGGCUGAGGCAGAAGGAUGGCUUCAGCUCAGGAGCUCAGGACUGCAGUGUACUGGGGUAGUGUCUGUGAAUAGCUACUGCACUCCAGCCUGUGCAAUACAGCAAGAUCCUGUCUCCA